AGUUUGAUCCUGGCGCAAGAUGAACGCUGGCGGGGUGCAUAAGACGUUCAAGUCGAACGGACUUUAUUGAAUGAAUCCUUCGGGAAGCGUGUAGUAGAGUUAGUGGCGGACGGGUGAGUAACGCGUGAGCAACCUACCUGCUAAAGAAGGAUAACAGUUGGAAACGGGUGCUAAUGCCAGAUAAAGCAUAUGAAUCGCAUGAGAGAGAUGUCAAAGCUGAGGCGAGAGCAGAGGGGCUCGCGUAUGAUUAGGCAGGUGGUGAGGUAACGGCUCACCAAACCUACGAUCAUUAGCCGAACUGAGAGGUUGAACGGCCACAUUGGAACUGAGAAACGGUCCAGACUCCUACGGGAGGCAGCAGUGGGGAAUAUUGGGCAAUGGGCGAAAGCCUGACCCAGCGACGCCGCGUGAGGGAAGAAGGUCUUCGGAUUGUAAACCUCUUUCAGCAGGGAAGAAGAAAGUGACGGUACCUGCAGAAGAAGUCACGGCUAACUACGUGCCAGCAGCCGCGGUAAUACGUAGGUGGCGAGCGUUGUCCGGAAUGACUGGGCGUAAAGGGCGUGUAGGCGGCAUUGUAAGUCCGGAGUGAAAGUCCUGCUUUCAAGGUGGGAAUUGCUUUGGAGACUGCAGAGCUUGAGUACAGAAGAGGUAAGCGGAAUUCCCGGUGUAGCGGUGAAAUGCGUAGAGAUCGGGAGGAACACCAGUGGCGAAGGCGGCUUACUGGGCUGUAACUGACGCUGAGGCGCGAAAGCGUGGGGAGCGAACAGGAUUAGAUACCCUGGUAGUCCACGCGGUAAACGAUGAAUGCUAGGUAUAGGGGGUAUCGACCCCUCCUGUGCCGGAGUAAACACAAUAAGCAUUCCGCCUGGGGAGUACGGCCGCAAGGUUGAAACUCAAAGGAAUUGACGGGGGCCCGCACAAGCAGCGGAGCAUGUUGUUUAAUUCGACGCAACGCGAAGAACCUUACCAGGGCUUGACAUCCAAUGAAUACCUUGGAAACAAGGUAGUGCCCUUCGGGGAGCAUUGAGACAGGUGGUGCAUGGUUGUCGUCAGCUCGUGUCGUGAGAUGUUGGGUUAAGUCCCGCAACGAGCGCAACCCCUAUGGUCAGUUGCCAGCACGGAAAGGUGGGAACUCUGACAAGGCUGCCGUGGAUAACACGGAGGAAGGUGGGGACGACGUCAAAUCAUCAUGCUCCUUAUGUCCUGGGCUACAAACGUGCUACAAUGGUCGUAACAAAGGGAAGCGAACCUGUGAGGGAGAGCAGAACCGAAAAAAGCGAUCUCAGUUCGGAUUGUGGGCUGCAACCCGCCCACAUGAAGUUGGAGUUGCUAGUAAUCGCGGAUCAGAAUGCCGCGGUGAAUGCGUUCCCGGGCCUUGCACACACCGCCCGUCA
rnacentral:rRNA from 1 species